UUUGUUGGUUCCCCUCAAGUUUCUGGGAACCAUAUCAUUACUUCACGGAAUCGUUCUAGUUUCUUGCGAGUUAUAAACUUUGCACAAGAUGUUAGUUUUGCAAUGGAAGCCUCGAGAAAAUCGAGAAUUGCUCUAACAUCUGCUACUACAAGACUCGGUGAAACCUCACACAAAGAUGGUAUCUAUUCGCUGAAAAAGGCACUUGAUUUCAAUUUCCAAGAUGUUGAGGGUUUGUUGCGCCUUGUUCGAAUCGCAAUGGAAGCGAUCAAUCGUUAAAAUAGCAUUGUUGCUUAUCAUGCUAUCGGGUCCCUCCAUCAAAUCACAGAGUUCCAUCAGAAUAUCACCCUUGUAAAAUCUGUACAGUUAUACUUGACUUCGACAAUGCUUGUUUCCCAUUCUUUAUAAUACAGCUGUGCUUGGACAAAAAUAAGCGCCUGAAACUUUUUCGAGUUGGACUGAUGAAAUGGAUUCGAGGACUAUUUGGAUCGUUUUACAGAUGGUGGAGCUGUCAGAAGUGAUUCUGACUCUCAGUUUUGUGCACAAGGGAUGUGGAUUGCAUUCUCAGGUGUGGCAUACAAUUUCACUCUUGCCCCCACAACCAAAUUUGCCUUUUCUGUUGAUCUAGACAAUCAGAAUAAGUUGCUGAAACAUGUUUAUCUGAGUGAACAAAUAAUGCUGUAGUCCUUUAUACACGGGUCGGAAAGUGAUCCCCUAAAGGUGUAUCAUGUAUAUGUAUAUGUGCAAUUAUAUGUGGAGUUGAUUCUAA